rnacentral:lncRNA from 1 species
UGGCCAGGGAGCCGCAGGCAAGGGACUAAGGGGAGGGGGGCUCAGUGCCAGCUGCUUAAAAAUGCCCCUGUGGCAGCGAGGGGCACCAGAGGCUGGGUCUAAUUAGUUGAGAAGCAGUGACACCCCCAACCACUCCCCAAACAGGCUGGCUCCCGUCUCCAGGCCCCAAGGAGCCACACCUGGACCAGACCCCAGGAAAGACAUGUGGUGGAAACCCUACGGCCCUGGAGCCCAAGGAGAGCAACGGCUGUAACAAGUGCACAGGUUUGAGUGCACUGAGGCAGGGGAACCGUGGGCAAAGAGGUCCCUCCAGAAAGAGCUGGGCGUGAGCAUGGGUUCGUGAGCUUGCCUGGAGCCCUGGCCUCAGCCCUCUCUCACUGAGGUGCCAUCUGGCUCGCAGAUGUGGCCCAUUCCCAGCCCCUCGUGUUUCUUGGAAAUGAGAAAGGCCAAGAAAGGGCACAGGGGCUUUCGCAAUGACCGUGGCGAUGAUAGCUUUGACGUGUGGUCAUCCAGCCGGCCACUGCCUACACCCAAGAGAAAGCUGGAUUGAUCAUCAGGAGCCUGGGUUCAAGUCUGCCUCUCAAGCUGUUCCACAGGUGACCCUGGGCAAAUCGCACAGGCUCCUGGAACUUCAGAAAGGGGAAGAAUUAUUCCUGCCUCUGGCGACAUCAGCGAAUGUGCCUUGAGUUACGGGAGUGUUUUGAAGGCUGAAAGCUUUGUGUACAUGGAAGGGGUCAAAGACAGCCACAAGCCUGUCCCUUUGGUCUUGGUCAUCAUGUUAACCCCAGGUUUCGAUUUAAUCCUACAUGCUCCUUUCUUAUGUGUGAGGCUGAGGUGGGGGCAUUGGUCAGAGGAGCCUCUGGGAAAUUUCCUUUCAGGACAGUUCUUUUGUUAAGGGGCCUGGGUGUGCUGAGAAGGGAAGGUGGCUCCUCCUGCUCUUGGAGCUUGGAGUUUCUCACAAGCUCUCCCUUAAAAGCCAGGCAGGCCAAGAAGGGAUAAUGGCUGCUCAGGGCCCAAGGGGCAGGAUCUCUGAGGCCCGGAAGAUCUCAGUAGGUUUAGCCCAAGAGUAUCCAGAAGUGGCCCAGGCCCAUUCUCCAUCCCUCAGAGCCUGGCAGCCUGGUCAGGACCCUCAAAGGCCAUGACCGUACCCGUAGGGCACCCUGGUGUCCUUCUGACAGGUGGGAUCUUUGUUUCUUACAGGCAAGGGCACUAGCUGGUGGGAGCCACCCCGCCAUGCUGAUGUCAGAGAAGCAAGAACUCUGGAGAAGCAGCCUCCUGGGACCAGAGGAGGGCCAGCAGCAGGCAGCCCGGAGACAGAACUGUGAGCCCACCCCACCUCCACCCUUCUGGCACCCACAUCCGCUCCCCACCCCAGCCCACCUGCAGGUGGCUCCUGGAGUAUCCUGGGUCCCUCAGGAUAAACUCCCCACCCUAACCUCAGAAUGACCAAGAAACUGGGCCUGAGGAUGACAAGAAGCAGAAUGGGCCUUGGUAAAGGAAGACCACCCAUUGAUUGGUGGCAGUGCGGGCAGUUCAGGGCUGUCAGGGUCUGGGUUGUAGGUAAAAAGAAAUGGAACCCAAGAUGGGAAAUCCAACUAGGAGCCAAGAAUCCGGUCUACCCCAUCCUCCUUACAAAAUAGCAAUGCAAAGCCCGUGUGAUUUGGACAUAAAGCCUCUGUUACUCAACUUGAUUCGGUGAAUAACAGACUUGAAAGAAAUGUGGAAAAUAAUAGUAAUCUUCCCUAGAAAGGAGUAAACAGGGUUGAGCUCCCAAAGCAGGAAGACCUGGGGCUGUGUGAUCUUGGACGAGUCACUCAACCUCUCUGAGCCUAGUGAUAAAGAGCCAGCUCAUAGGGCUUUGAGAGGAUUUGUGAGGUUGGGCUGGUGUCCCCAGGCACAGCCCUUGGCACAUAGUGAAACUCAAGAAUACAGAGCAGUUUUUACCAUUCAUCACAUUAUUCCCACACUUGCCAAUUUUUUAAUUUCAUGCUCAUGGUGGAACAGGUAGGGUGAGGUGCCAGCUCCAUAAGAUAAGUGGAGAAACUGAGGCCUGGAGAGGUGAAAGCAUUCACUCAGAGUUGCAUGUAGAGUCAGUUGCAAAGGAGAAUUCUGGCACCAGUUCUCAUGUGGAUGGAAAAAGUGCAGGAAGAUUUGGAGGUGAGCAGAGGAGAAGGGAGGAGGAGGCAGGGUUCCAGGAAAGGAGCUGACAUCCAGGGAUGUGGGACAAGGCCCAGGCCUGUCUUACAUAACAUGGUCCACCUGUUCACCCCUGCAUGCCCCACAAAUGUGUGCAAACGUGCACCCCGGCACAGCGCACACCCAGUCCUCCGUCACUAGCAAAUAAGCCACAGAGACUGGGUUUAAACAAAUUGGAUUAGGAGGGCUGCAGGCGCCUCCUCCCCCCGACUGUCCGGCUCCGACACUAAACAGACCUGCAGAACUGCCAGCUGUGGUCUCUCGGACACACUGACAGUUGGUCCUUGGCUCCCUCACCCCACCCGUGGGCCUCAGGAAGGGGGUUGGGGUCUGAGAGGAUGCCACAAUGAUGGAUGGGGUGAGGGAGGUUCCAGGGCUAGCUCAACAGCGCACAGGAUGUUAGUGCUUUUGCGAGGCACAUUUCCGAGCUGUUCCCACACCCACCCCCACUUCCCCCUUCACCCUCCCCUCCGGCAGCCUCUCCCAUGGCCACUGCUGCAGGCUGUGAGCAGAGCCCCGUCCUUGAGCAGAUUCACCUCAUCUUUCAGUCCUGCAGCUGGGCUGAGCGGGGAGUCAGCUCAGAAGACACUGGCCUGGGGAUGAGACUCGGGGCAUGCUUCAGAGGGAAGAAAGAGCUUCUGAACAGACAAUGCUGUCUUAAAGGUGGCAUCUUGGUGCUUUCUCAUGCCUUGUUUUCUUUCAUCCUCAGAAUGUGUCUGGGGGUGAGGGGAGGGGUGUGACUGCCGAAACUUCCUUUCUUGGUGAUUCCACAUCACUCCUUUCUGAUCCCUGAGCCUGUGCCACGCCCUGUGUGAUGUGCCAGGGACACCAGGGUGAAUACUUACAGACCCUGUUCCCCUUCCUUCACGAAACAGCCUCCUUCGGGCUGGGUCACUGGGCACUGGGGCCUCCCUGGUCUUCCAGGAUUGCAACUUCACAGAAUCCCUUUUCCAUAAGGCACAUGAAAGUGACUGUGACCCGCAACGGGAGCCUUGACAACCAGCCAAUUCAGAACACAGACCUUGACAUCGGAAGGCCCCGAGUUCAAAUCCUGCCUUGCUCCCUUUCAGCUGGAAAGCUGUGGUCAAAUUACUUAGCCUCUCCAAGCCAGUUUUCCCUUCUGCAAAAUGAGGUUACACAAGCUGCCACCUCACAGAAUGAGUGUGAGAAUUAAUUCUUAUUUUCCACACCCUCAUUUGACAGGGGGAGAAACAGAAGCCCAGAGAGGGAAAGGGCUUGGUUAGGAUCACACCAUGAGUUGGGGGUUAAGUCAGGAUGGGGUAGGUCCCGUCUUUCUCUGGGUGUUCCUCUCCCCCAUCCCUUAUCUCAACAUAAAUCCUCCCCAGUUGCCCAGGUUGUCCAGGUGAUUCCUGGCACACGUCCUGGGGCCUGCCCUCCACCUUCAGCCCUGCUCUGGCUUCUGCAGCAGCAGAGUCCGGGGUGACCAGCAGUGGCCCCCGGCCCUCUGAGUGGUGGUGGAGGGUGGGGGAGCACUGCAGCAAGCUCCCAGCCCAGAGCAGCCUGGCCAUAUAAGGGAAGGAGCCCAGGGAGGCCUCCUGGCUCAGGCCUGGCGAGAAAACCCAGACAGCCACUGUUUAUUUUCUCCUCCCCAGCUCACCCACGCCUCUCCAAGCCUCCCGACAGAAGACAGAGGUCCCCCACAGCCAGAGACAUUUCCUGAAGACAUGGGGAACACAGAGGCAGAAACAGCCCAUCCACCCAGGAGCUGUCCCCCACACUGCCGGGAGCCGGCACCCAGAGCCGCCAGGUAAAACUGAGGCCACCUGGUUCAACAUCGCCUUUCAUAGAAGGGGAAGCAGCCACAGAAAGAAGGGCCUGGUAAGAAGUGGAACCUGGGACCCCCAAGCGGUGUCUCUCAUCCUGACUGGGGAUCCAGAGUAGGAGGGAGCCUUUGGUGGGGUAAGUGGAAUGGGGCAGUGGGGGUGGCCAUAGACCCCUCUUCUCAGUAAGGCCCUCAUGUGAAGGAGGCAGGGGUUGGGACAAGUGCUAAGUAUGCAAGACUCAAGGGAAGAGCUGCUGGAGCCAGGGGAAGCACCUCCCUCCCGGCCCCUCUGCCCCUCCUCAUAGCCCAGCUGCACUGACUCCUCCUCCAGGAAGCCUUCUCAGCUUCCCCAGGGGUGGGAACCUUUUCGUCCUCCAGGUGUGCUUGGCUGUCCUUUCUUGGGCUCUCUCUCUCUCUCUCCUCAUCCCACUUGAGUCUGCCCCCUAUUCACCUUGUGAGGGGAAUUUCCUUCUACUCAAUCUGACCGAGGUCCUCCAGGUCAAGGACGGCGUGGCUCUCAGUCCCACUUCCCCUUGGCACAUAGAAGAGGCAGUGCGCUGAAGGGACAGGUGAAAUGAUUAGACCCUGCCCCCAAACCAAGGCCUGGCCAAUUGGACAGGGCAUGAGACAUUCAGCGUAGAGGUUAAAAUGAGGGCCCUGGGUUAGGAACCCCAGCUCAGUUCUCAGCUCUGUACCCUUGGAAAAUUCCCUUCCCAUGGAGCUUUGUGAAUGCACAGGGACUUGCACAAAGAAAACAUUCAAUAUCCAGGACUAUAAAAUUCCACAAAUGACUGUGCUUAUUACAUUCAUUAUCACGAUGAUUAUUCCAGACACAAAGGAACAGAACGAGGCACCAACAGCAAGGGGCAAGCAGAUUCAAGGGCCACAGAGGAGAUGGAGGCAAACACCUUCCCCUGGUCAGAGGCUGUGCCUCAGCCCUUCUCCCUGCAUCAGUUUCUCCUUCAGAAGCAUGGGACUACCUCCCAUCUAGUUCUCGUUUCUAAACCCAGGGGAGAUGCUAUCUUUGCUGCAAUAAUCUUAGCCUACAUCUUGGAAUGGAAAUGGCCUUGGUGGAAAUGGUCUUCAACUCCUCUGGUCCAAGCUCAGGCCCUGUGACCCUGGAACAAUCCCCUUCCUGGUCCUCCAUGUAGGAGCAAUAACAUUCCCUUGCCAGCGGCACCAGCCAUUCUGAUGAUUAAAUGGUAUCGGACUCUGUUUUCCAAACUCAGUCAUUCAGAUGCCCCCUAUUUUAUUUCUUCCAUGUCUGCAAAUGAUUAUAAUAUUUUUAAAUGUAAGAUGAGUCCUUUUUAUUACACAUAGAAAUAGCUACUGUAAAUAGCAAACUCUAACACUGUGCCUAAUUAGGAAAUAAAGGUAACCAUAAAUACAGUAAAAAUGAAACAAUGUUAUUAUGCUUUAACCUGAUAGUGUGGCUUGCAAGGCCCUGGGCCUGAAGCCUGGGCAAUAAGUGAGAGUUAGAAAGGUGUCAAAGACAUGAUAGCAGCAAACUGAGGCUUUGUACCCCACGGUAAAUAGGACUGAAAGCAAAUUCACAGGGAGCAACUGAUCCAUUCCACAACAGAAUGCUCCCUGUCAAUUUGCUUUCCAUUCUGUUGUGUCCUGUCUCCCAGCAGAGACUACAAACUCCCCAAAACCACUUACCCACCAGCUGCACGUGAGAAGCCAAAGGUAGUUUAUGUGAAAGGGCUUUGGAAAUAAUCACGCACCAAGUGAAGGCAGAGGACACACCUUGUCAGCUUAGUUCUCAGCAGCAAAUCAUCUCUUUUCCAGGAUAACCCUCCCUGAUUCUUAUUGAAAUCUCUUUGCUGAUCACACUAAGCUCUUCUCUCUCAGGGGCAGUGGGAGCCGUGGAGAGUGGAGUAGACCAGCUGUCUGUGACCUGCAAGGGAGUCCAAUGUCAGAAUCACUCCCCAGCCAAAUGCACGGUUUUAAAAAAUCUAUUUAUUUAUUUAUGUAGAGACCAGGCUAUGAGACUGGCUAAUUUUUCGUAUUUUUGGAUAGAGACAGGAUUUCAUCAUGUUGCCCAGGCUGGUCUUGAACUCCUGGGCUCAAGCGAUCCACCUGCCUCGGCUUCCCAAAGUGCUCGGGAUUACAGGCGUGAGCCACUGUGCCCAGCCACCAAAUGCAGUUGAAAAGAGUUUCUGCAAGAUAAUUCCACAGAAGAGGAAAGCAGUUAUCUGGCUGGGAAUACCUUAGACAGAGGCUGUCCUCUACACAGGCUGUCAGAACUGACCUACUGACCUGCCUGCUGGCAUGAUAGACCAGAGGGAAACACUCUUUCCACUCUUCCCAGAGUGAGUGUAAGAGACAGACUUUUUUUUUUUUUUUGAGACGGAGUCUCACUCUGUCACCCAGGCUGGAGUGCAAUGGCAAGAUCUCGGCUCACUGCAACCUCCACCUCCCCAGGUUCAAACCAUUCUCCUGCCUCAGCCUCCCAGGUAGCUGGGAUUACAGGCUCCCGCCACCACGCCUGGCUAAUUUUUGUAUUUUUAGUAGAGACAGGGUUUCACCAUGUUGGCCGGGCUGGUCUCGAACUCCCAACCUCAGGUGAUCCGCCUACCUUGGCCUCCCAAAGGGUUGGGAUUACAGGUGUAAGCCACUGCUCCCAGCCUUUUUUUUUUUUUUUUUUUUUUAUUAGAGACAAGGGCUCCCCAUGUUGCCCAGGCUGAUCUUGAACUCUAGGCUCAAGCGAUCCUCCUGCCUGAGCCUCCCAAAGUGCUAGGAUUACAGGCAUGAGCACUGCUCCCAGCUCUGUUUUUAUUUUUUUAAGGAGGUAUAUUUUUUCUGUUCUCUCUCAGCCCUGAAGAAAGGCUACCCAUCCCCUUCAGACAUUCCUGAAAAUAUAUGUCAUCCAACAUCAAGGCCACCACAGUGACCACUAAGCAACGCAAGAAGGUCCUCUGGGGUGCCCUGAGAUCUUGGCAGGGCAGGAAGAGUGAGAAGGGGCUUUGCCUGCUCACCUGAAAGUUCCCACCCAAGCCGGGCCCAGAAAACAAAAUGAAUUAUCUACAUGGUCAUCCAAUCAGCCACCAAAUGGCAUUACCUGGGUCCAUCAUCAUGUACCAAGCCACAGGUCAGACCCAGGGCCCCCCUAAUUAACAAGACACAGGCACUGUCCUCAGGAAGUGGAGAUCUAGCCAGGUCAGACCCACACACAAAUAACACUGAUACUAGAGAUAAUGAGAUUGGGAAUUAUGAUUCAGCCAUUCAACCUGGGCUUAUGCGGCAUCUACACCACCUGGCCCUGAUUUCAGUAGUGAGCAGUUGACAGGGUCCCUUCCCUUCACAGGUGAGCCAUGUAGUCCACAAGUGGAGGUGGUCGUAAGUGAAAAGCACAUUACCAGCAUGGUAGAGGGUUAGAAAGAGGGCACAGGGUGGGCGAGAACAUGAAGCAGGGGGUGCUGAUGGCUAAAGAAGUCAAGGAGGGGCUGGGCACUGUGGUUCAUGCCUAUAAUCCCAGCACUUUGGGAGACCAAGGCGGGUGGAUCACCUGAGGUCAGGAGUUCUAGACCAGCCUGGGCAACGUGGUGAAACCCUGUCUCUACUAAAAAUACAAAAAUUAGCCAGGCAUGGUGGUGCACGCCUGUAGUCCCAGCUACUUGGGAGGCUGGGGCAUGAGAAUUGCUUUAACCCGGAAGGUGGAGUUUGCAGUGAGCCGAGAUCGUGUCACUGCACUCCAGCCUGGGCGACAGAGGGAGACUCUGUCUCAAAAAAAAAAAAGUCAAGGAGGGUUUCCCAGAGUGGCCACUUGAUUAGAGACCUAGCACAGGAGGAAGAGAUGGGCAGGGAGAGUGACGGGGAGCAGCACAGUCCCUGGGAGCCCGAAGUGGGUGGGCACAGGGCUCCCUAGGAGAAUGGAAGGACAUCUAUGAGCUGUAGCCCAAGAGGAAGAGGUCACUGAGGCUAGAUGUGGCAGACCCUCGCGGGCUUUGGGGAGGGCUUCACAAUUCAGCCUGAGGGCAAUGGGGAGCCCUUUUGGGAUAUUAAACUUGAGAAAAUAUGAGCAUAUUUGCAUCUUGAAAAAUCAUUAUGGGAAGAUGGCUGGGAAGAGAGGAGGAGUGGCAGAAGAAAGAUAGGUUGGAGACAAUUGAUUGUUCGAUGAUAUAAAAUGUUAAGUACCGUGAAUGAUGCUGUUUGGCUGGAAUGCACCAAGCAUAAAGGUGGGGCAUGGCAUCAAAAGGUAGGUCAACAUAUUAAAUAAUUCCAUGUAUUGAAAUAUCCAGAAAAUAUAUAGACAGAUCUAUAGAGAUAGAAACUGGUCUGCCCAGGACUAGGGGUUGUCUAAGGAUAAGGAGUUUCUUUUUUGGAUGGUGAAAUAACCUAAAAUAUAUUGUGCCAUUGUUUGCAAAACUUUGUGAAUAUAUUAAAAACCUGUUAAUUGUACUCACUAAA